rnacentral:rRNA from 1 species
ACUCGAUCUCAAAUCAAGUAAGACUACCCGCUGAACUUAAGCAUAUCAA